UCCUCGGCCCGCAUCCGCGCUUCGACCACCUCCGGGUCGGGGUCGGCGACGCGCACCGGGAUGGGCCCGCCCUC
rnacentral:tRNA from 1 species